GCAAGUCGAGGGGUAACGGAAGUAGCUUGCUACUAGACGACGACCGGCGCACGGGUGAGUAACGCGUAUGUAAUCUGCCUUGUACAGAGGGAUAGCCCAGAGAAAUUUGGAUUAAUACCUCAUAGUAUUACCGAAUCGCAUGAUUUGGUAAUUAAAGCUCCGGCGGUACAAGAUGAACAUGCGUGACAUUAGCUAGUUGGUAAGGUAACGGCUUACCAAGGCUACGAUGUCUAGGGGUUCUGAGAGGAUGAUCCCCCACACUGGUACUGAGACACGGACCAGACUCCUACGGGAGGCAGCAGUGAGGAAUAUUGGUCAAUGGACGCAAGUCUGAACCAGCCAUCCCGCGUGAAGGAUGACUGCCCUAUGGGUUGUAAACUUCUUUUAUAUGCAAAUAAACCUACUUUCGUGAAAGUAGCUGAAGGUAGCAUAUGAAUAAACACCGGCUAACUCCGUGCCAGCAGCCGCGGUAAUACG
rnacentral:rRNA from 1 species